rnacentral:rRNA from 1 species
UGGGGAAUAUUGGACAAUGGGGGCAACCCUGAUCCAGCCAUGCCGCGUGAGUGAUGAAGGCCCUAGGGUUGUAAAGCUCUUUUGUGCGGGAAGAUAAUGACGGUACCGCAAGAAUAAGCCCCGGCUAACUUCGUGCCAGCAGCCGCGGUAAUACGAAGGGGGCUAGCGUUGCUCGGAAUCACUGGGCGUAAAGGGUGCGUAGGCGGGUUUCUAAGUCAGAGGUGAAAGCCUGGAGCUCAACUCCAGAACUGCCUUUGAUACUGGAAGUCUUGAGUAUGGCAGAGGUGAGUGGAACUGCGAGUGUAGAGGUGAAAUUCGUAGAUAUUCGCAAGAACACCAGUGGCGAAGGCGGCUCACUGGGCCAUUACUGACGCUGAGGCACGAAAGCGUGGGGAGCAAACAGGAUUAGAUACCCUGGUAGUCCACGCCGUAAACGAUGAGUGCCAGCCGUUAGUGGGUUUACUCACUAGUGGCGCAGCUAACGCUUUAAGCAUCCGCCUGGGGAGUACGGUCGCAAGAUUAAAAACUCAAAUGAAUUGACGGGGUCAUAGCUGUUUCCU